rnacentral:rRNA from 1 species
UACAUGCAGUCGAGCGAGCAAGUUAAAGGAAUACUUCGGUAGGAAUUUAAUAGCGCGAGCGGCGGAUGGGUGAGUAACACGUGGGCAAUCUACCCUUUAGCUUGGGAUACCACUUGGAAACAGGUGCUAAUACCAAAUAAGAAGUAAGAGCGCAUGCUCAAGCUAUGAAAGGCGGCUUUCGAGCUGUCACUAAAGGAUGAGCCCGCGGUGCAUUAGCUAGUUGGUAAGGUAACGGCUUACCAAGGCAAUGAUGCAUAGCCGAGUUGAGAGACUGAUCGGCCACAUUGGGACUGAGACACGGCCCAAACUCCUACGGGAGGCAGCAGUAGGGAAUCUUCCACAAUGGACGCAAGUCUGAUGGAGCAACGCCGCGUGAGUGAAGAAGGUUUUCGGAUCGUAAAGCUCUGUUGUUGGUGAAGAAGGACAUGGAUAGUAACUGAUCUAUGUUUGACGGUAAUCAACCAGAAAGUCACGGCUAACUACGUGCCAGCAGCCGCGGUAAUACGUAGGUGGCAAGCGUUGUCCGGAUUUAUUGGGCGUAAAGCGAACGCAGGCGGGAGAACAAGUCAGCUGUGAAAGCCCUCGGCUUAACCGAGGAACGGCAACUGAAACUGUUUUUCUUGAGUGCAGAAGAGGAGAGUGGAACUCCAUGUGUAGCGGUGAAAUGCGUAGAUAUAUGGAAGAACACCAGUGGCGAAGGCGGCUCUCUGGUCUGUAACUGACGCUGAGGUUCGAAAGCAUGGGUAGCGAACAGGAUUAGAUACCCUGGUAGUCCAUGCCGUAAACGAUGAGUGCUAAGUGUUGGGAGGUUUCCGCCUCUCAGUGCUGCAGCUAACGCAUUAAGCACUCCGCCUGGGGAGUACGACCGCAAGGUUAAAACUCAAAGGAAUUGACGGGGGCCCGCACAAGCGGUGGAGCAUGUGGUUUAAUUCGAAGCAACGCGAAGAACCUUACCAGGUCUUGACAUCUAGUGCAAACCCUAGAGAUAGGGUGUUUCCUUCGGGAACACUAAGACAGGU